UACGUAGGGACCGAGCGUUGUCCGGAAUCAUUGGGCGUAAAGAGCGUGUAGGCGGCUUGGUAAGUCCGCUGUGAAAGUCCAGGGCUCAACCCUGGAAAGCCGGUGGAAACUGUCAAGCUUGAGUCCGGAAGAGGCGAGUGGAAUUCCUGGUGUAGCGGUGAAAUGCGCAGAUAUCAGGAGGAACACCAAUGGCGAAGGCAGCUCGCUGGGACGGUACUGACGCUGAGACGCGAAAGCGUGGGGAGCAAACAGG
rnacentral:rRNA from 1 species